GUGGUUUUUUUUUGUUGCUNCGCGAAAGAACCUUACCUACUCUUGACAUCUACAGAAGCCAGCGGAGACGCAGGUGUGCCUUCGGGAACUGUAAGACAGGUGCUGCAUGGCUGUCGUCAGCUCGUGUUGUGAAAUGUUGGGUUAAGUCCCGCAACGAGCGCAACCCUUAUCCUUGUUUGCCAGCACUUCGGGUGGGAACUCCAGGGAGACUGCCGGUGAUAAACCGGAGGAAGGUGGGGACGACGUCAAGUCAUCAUGGCCCUUACGAGUAGGGCUACACACGUGCUACAAUGGCGCAUACAGAGGGCGGCCAACUUGCGAAAGUGAGCGAAUCCCAAAAAGUGCGUCGUAGUCCGGAUUGGAGUCUGCAACUCGACUCCAUGAAGUCGGAAUCGCUAGUAAUCGUGGAUCAGAAUGCCACGGUGAAUACGUUCCCGGGCCUUGUACACACCGCCCGUCACACCAUGGGAGUGGGCUGCAAAAGAAGUGGGUAGUUUAACCUUCGGGAGGACGCUCACCACUUUGUGGUUCAUGACUGGGGUGAAGUCGUAACAAGGUAACCG
rnacentral:rRNA from 1 species